AGCACCUCAAGUGGUCAGGAUGAUUAUUGGGCCUAAAGCAUCCGUAGCUCGUUUUGUAAGUUUUCGGUUAAAUCCAUACGCUUAACGUAUGGGCUGCCGGGAAUACUGCAUAACUAGGAAGUGGGAGAGGUAGACGGUACUCGGUAGGAAGGGGUAAAAUCCUUUGAUCUAUUGAUGACCACCUGUGGCGAAGGCGGUCUACCAGAACACGUUCGACGGUGAGGGAUGAAAGCUGGGGGAGCAAACC
rnacentral:rRNA from 1 species